CCUACGGGUGGCAGCAGUGAGGAAUAUUGGUCAAUGGACGAGAGUCUGAACCAGCCAAGCAGCGUGAAGGAUGACUGCUCUAUGGGUUGUAAACUUCUUUUAUAAAGGAAUAAACCGAGGCAUGUGUACCUUUUUGCAUGUACUUUAUGAAUAAGGAUCGGCUAACUCCGUGCCAGCAGCCGCGGUAAUACGGAGGAUCCGAGCGUUAUCCGGAUUUAUUGGGUUUAAAGGGAGCGUAGAUGGGUGGAUAAGUCAGAUGUGAAAGUUCGCGGCUCAACCGUGAAAUUGCAAUUGAUACUGGUAGUCUAGAGAAUAGUUGAGGUAGGCGGAAUGUGUGGUGUAGCGGUGAAAUGCUUAGAGAUCACAAAGAACCCCGAUUGCGAAGGCAGCUUACUAAACUGUGUCUGACAUUGAUGCUCGAAAGCGUGGGGAGCAAACAGGAUUAGAUACCCUAGUAGUC
rnacentral:rRNA from 1 species